CUCCAUACAAGGUUUGAUCAACAACUUCUUCAUUGAUUUUCUGGUCUCUCUCCGGUGUAUCAUAGAGCAUUUUUGACAUGUUUCUGCAAGAUACACUUGUUAACUUUAAGCGACAUAAGUGCAAAAAAAUAAGAUCAUGUUGUAUUGCCUGUGCUUCCACUCUGCCUUGUUUAGUACUAUUAUGGAGCAGUACUUCCAUAUAGAACCAGUGAUCUCCAGUUCAUUAUGUUGCCUUCUUUAAACUAACUUUAAUUAUCUAUACAUAUAAAACAAAGUGGUCCCAUCAAGGGGCUAAAUCAAGAAUCAAGUGGGGCGAACAGGAAACAGUGGCAUCAAUUUUUAAGUCCAUAAGCUUUAAUAAAAGGAAUAAAACCAAGGAUAUGAAUAUGUUAUUUUUUCAUUUGUUCAUGCACUGGAAGAUCUUUCCUCUUCAAGCAUUGAACCAGCAUCCUUCUGUGCAAGUUGCUGUCGGAACCUUCUAUAAUUGUCAGAAGUCUGUUUCUGAAAUAUACAGAUAAAACUUUUAGCAAGUCUUGACAUUGCUCAUCACUAGGACAUUGUACUAGGAUACCAAUUCAUCUAAUUAGGGUUAAGUUGGCAUCUCGUACACUAUUUUUUAUUUUUCCUUCAUCUUUUGUUCCCAUUUGCAGUGGAAGUGGCACUUAGAAUAUCUGAUCAUGAAGAAUUAGCUUUCGGUGAGAUGAUACUAGGUCAAUUGCCAUUAUCUUUUUGAGUUACUGUGCGAGCAAUCUUGAAAAUAUUUUGGGAUAAAUAGAAUUUGUGCUUAUCAUAAACAUGCUAAACAUCCAAAUCAAGUGCUUUUACUAUUGAUAUCAAAUCAGUAAUUGAUUUUAACCUUUAUGCUUAUCUUUCAGAUUCUCAAUUAUGUAUCUUGAAUAAUGAUAUUAAGCAGAAAUCAUGAAUUGAAUUGCUUUAAUUAACUGUGCCUUAUCAAGCUUGUCAGCAGUGCUAUUGCUACCGCGAAUCAAAUUCGCUGUGCUUCCCGCCUUCUCCAAAUAAGCCACAAGCCCAAUUAUAUCCGCCCUCCUCCCAUCUCCAAGGGAUCAAAAAAUAAAAUGACUUCAAUCAAUUUUCAAGUUUUCCAUCUUGAUCAGUAGACCACCCGGCAUGAAUGUUACCCUCAGUUUAGGAAUAGGAAUUCCUUUUACUAAUCAUUUGGCACUAAAAACUAUGACCCCUAGCAAUUCAUUCCCUCCAUUAGAUAUCUGGGGGCAUCUUGGCUCAGCCAAAAAUGAUAAGUCAUUGCAUUUCACAUUGCAUUCAUUUGUAUUAAUGAGCUAAUUUUUUUUCACAGAAUGUGAUGUGAAUCGAAUUACUUCCAACCAUGUGUCUCUAUAAGGGUUUAACAAAUGUAAUUUGCAUUGUCUGUACACUUUUUUUUCGGUUUCUUUUCUUUUUUAUGCAUGAUUCAUUAGUCCACGGAUCUUCUAUGCAAAGUGUGCAGGCCAAACACCUCCUUCAAUGCAUUAUUCUAGAAGUUAAGACUCAGUUUACUCCUUAAUUGAUCUGUUCCAUUUACUUCAAAUCAUUUGAUUACAUUAAAUGAAUCUUGAAAUUCAAAAAUGCAUCAAAGUUAAAAGACCUUCCAAUGCAUUAAGAAAUCAUCUGAUACAAAUAUAUGUGAACCUGCAACAACAAUAAUGUCAAAAUGGAAAACUUAGGUAGAAAAUAUUAGAACGGAAACUUACGACGAACUCAAUUUUUGGCGCCUUUCUUCUUCUCAUCUUCUGAUCCAAGAAGCUCUUCCAACACCGUGUCAUCCAAACACUCGAACUCAAUGACUUGCUUUUCUUGCCCAGAAGAGGAACCUCCCAUCUCUAAACUCCUACAAGGCCCAGAAGAUGACGAGGAAGACGAUGAGGAUGGUGAUGGUGGGGGGCGAUGGGAGCCCAUGAUUUCAGAAUAGUACUCAUUAGGAAAGUUAAGAAUGGCAAGAUGACCCCUUAAGUUAAAGGCCGCUCGAUCAUAGGCGCGAGCUGCAUCCUCCGCCCUGUCAAAUGUGCCUAGCCAUAGACGAGCACCUUGCCUAGACGGAUCCCUAAUCUCGGCUGCAAACUUCCCCCAUGGCCUCCUCCUCACCCCUCGGUAUCGAACUUCUUCCUUUUCCUUCCCUUCCUGCUCCUGCUUCUCAUUCCCUUUCGAAUGAUCUUCCAUGCUAAACGUGUCGAUUUGCUAGGCGCAAUUUUUUUGGUUUCAAAUGUGCUGGUUUACGAGAGGCAUGGAUGCUUAUGUAUAUAUAUGGUUGCCACAGUCAGGUCUGACGUCACCGCUCAAUGUAUGUUCCACAGCGUGGGUUGACGAGCUUUCUGAGGGGGUUUCCUCGAAUUCAAAGCAAGUAUAAAAAUUCGAUUCUCCGACCUUUCCAAUGAGGAUCGAACAGGCCUUUUAUUAGAACCGUAUGAUAACUCCACACUGUUUUCAAAUAGUCAAUGUGAUCUAGAUUCUUCGUUAAUUUUUUCCACCUGACUGAUUGUUUACAAUUUUAUUUUUCACCGUCCCAAAUUUAAACCAUUUACGCGAUUCCCUGGAUUGCAUUUUUCUUUAAUGUUGACUUUACGAGGCAAUAGGACCCCCCAGCAACCCCACUAGGGCGACUUCAUGGGAACCAGAUUACUUUUGGAUCCAGAUAUGGUCCAGAAGAAAUAAGACAAAUCAAUUAAUGUCCACUAAAGUUUUGAUGGAACCCUUAGUCCGUGUUUCCUGUGGAUGUAUGUAUUGUAUGCACCUCAAUUUUCACCAAUCCCUGCUACGAGUCCCUUUAAUUUUGACGUUAUAAAUGUUUUUCCUGACAUUAGCAGAGUGUUUUUCUGCCGUCUUUGAGGACCUUCCACGGCCCAUAAACUAAUAAGGAUCGUCCAGUGAAUUUAGUCUUCCCCAGUUAAUUAUCCUGCGAGGGAAACUUGGGCAGUAAGUUGCCUACAUGAGUGGCUCCCGCCUACAUGAGUCAAGGGACCAUACGUCAGGACGACAACCAGUGUGGUCACACCAAAGUGGGUUGCCUGGACUCCAGGGUGGUCGCUUCAAAGUUGUCAAAUGAAGGCUAGCUUGGCAAGUUUUGGAAAACAAUUAUUGAAAAACAUUUUUCAUGAAUAACAGUUUCUAUGAACAGAUUUUAAGAAAGUUUAUUUUGUGAUUUUUAGGAAUAUUUUUAAUUUAAAUUUUUAUAUUUUUAAUUUUUUAUUAAUUUAUUGAUUAUUUAAUAUUAGCUUAAUUAAUGGAUUUUUCUUGGUCCCAAAUUAUUAAUUUAUCAAGAUUUAAUCGCAUCCAUAAUUAGUCUAAUUUCUUUUGGAGUGAGUGUGACAAAGUGCAAAUUUCUAGAGUUUUAUUAAUGUUAUUCAAUGUCAUAAUUUAACUAAUUAUAUUAAUUAUUUAUUAAUCAAAAUAAAUCAUUCACUUGAAAUAUGAUAAUUUAAAUUAAAAGUUUCAAUUAUUUAUUAAUUAGCAAAGUAUGAACUUUUCUUCUUGUUUUAUUAUUGUUAUUCCAUGUAUAUAAUUUAAUUAACUGUUUCCAAUAUUAAUCAAUAAAAAUAGAAUAUAAGCAUGAGAAGAAUUAGUAAAAUUCAUUGAUUUGGAAUUAGAUAGCUAGAGGAAGAACUUCAUCAUCUUCCCAUUACUUAAAUUUGUAUAAAUUCUAAAUAUUUAAACCCCCCCCCCCCCCCCCCCCCCCAAAAAAAAAAAAAAUGGUAAAGAAAGACUCCCCAAGCUUUCUUGGUUGGUGUUACCCUAAAAUUUGUACAAUAAGAUGAACCAUUUGGCUUAAAGCUUGGUGCGAAACCCCUUAUCAAUUGAAAAUAUCAAUGAAGUUGUUGAAUGGUUUUAGAGGACUAUUCUUAUGCAGAGUGGCAUAAGAAGCGAGGAGAUGAAGAGCGGAGAGACGUUAACAUCGGAUGCUGCUACGAAGGUGGGAAUACGGUUAAUUAAUUAGAUUUUGUGAUGGCUUUGAGUUUGAAGGAGUUAGUUUAAUGGGUAUUAUUAGUGAACUGAUAAUUGGAUUUGAUGUAAAGAAGGUUGGUCCAUUGGAUUAGCAAUUGGUUUGGCCUUUUGGGGGCCCCAUUUCCAAAUGCAUUGCCUUUUACAAGCAUUCAACAUCGCUGGACGUAACCAGGCUUGGUUCACCUAAAAGUAUCGCAUGGAUUGAAUUGACUAAGUUUUCAUUGUAGACUAGCCUUGAUUUUCCCUUGACCUGCCCACCAAAUCCUGAUGCCCACGCGAGGGAAUACCUCAAUUUUCUAAUAAUUUAUGCAGUUUCUCUUCAAAGCUCGUGUGAUCACUUGGGUCGGUAAAAUAAUGCAUUCCUCUACUUUUUCUCCCUUCCUAGAUGCAUGUUAUACCAUUAAUUCAAAUGUGAACAUGGGCUUGGCUUUGAAACUUGGUUCAAGGCCCAACAUGUUGACCCACAAUUGAGGUGUAAUUGAAUUUGUACACUUUUCGACUUUGAUACCAUUUGUCAUUACCAUUGACAUUGGGUCAUUGUUGAUUUUGAGUCCACAACUUUUAAGGUUGUUAUUACAAUUUUAAAUUGCGCCCACCCAAUUUAUAUGCAUUAUCCCUUAUAAAUACCGAUAACCUCUCUUUCUUCGAUAAUAUAAAAUGUCACAUAUAUUAUAUAUCUCAAUGUUUUCUUUUACUUUUUUUUUUUUUAUCGAUCGACAUUCUCUCUCAGAUGAUAUGAGAUGUCACAUAUAUUAUAUGUUUCAAUGUUUCUUUUACUUUUUCUCUUUUUCCUCAUGAUUGACAUUGUCUUUCUCAAAUGAUAUGAGUUGUCACAUAUAUUUUAUGUCUCAAUGUUUUCUUUAACUUUUUUUCUCUCUUCUUUAAUGAUCGACGUUCCUUUUCUCAGAUGAUAUGAAAUGUCAUAUAUAUUAUAUGGCUUAAUGUUUUCUUUUACUUAUUCUUUCUUUAUUAAUAAUCGACAUUUUAAGCAAUAUGUGAAUAUAAAGCAUUAAAAUUAUCUCCAUCGUUUUUGGAUGUGGUAUAAAUACACAAUUCUUAUUUUUGUUUUAAAUAUUUCUAUUGCUAUCUAUUGAAAUUUUAUGCAUGAAGCUACCAAGUUAAUUAUACAUAUAUCUUAAGAUUUUUUUUUUUUUUUUUUAUAGGAUAUAUUGUCCAUGAAUAUUUUCUGCAAUGGUAUCUUGUUUGAUUACUAUAAGAAAUAAUAUAUAUAUAUAUAUAUAUAUAUAUAUAUAUAUAUAUAUAUAUAUAUAUAUAUAUUAUAUUUCAAUGUUUCAUAUUUGCUUAAAAUAAAAAUUAUAUUUUAUCACAAUAUUUGGUAUUAAAAAAAAUGAAAUCUCUCUCAUUUAUUAUUACAAAAAAAUUAUAAUUUAUAAUUUUCUAAAUAAGUUUUAUUUAUUUGCUAACUAUAUUCAUGAUUAAAAGAUUUAAAAUUUAUAAAUAAAAAAUAUUAUGUCAUGUCAUUAAAUAAAUAAAAAUAUAUGUAUAUAUUAAAAUUAUGUUUUAUUGUAGCUUUUAAUAUUUUUUUUUUUAUUCUUUUCUUUUUUGAACUACAAUUUUAAUUUUUUUUAAUCAAAAUUUUUUAAUUUACAAAACGAGUAACAUAAAACUUGCCUUUGAACUUUAUUGGAAUGUUAUAUACUACCAUUUGGCUUUCAAGACAUUAGAAAAGGCAUAAGUGUCCCUUUUAUUUUUCCGAAAGGCAUAUUAGACUAUAGUAGGAAGUGUUGUAUAGAGGCAACUAAAAGUUGCCUUUAACUUUAUGAAGUCAUAUACUCCUCUUUGGCUUUGAUGACAUCAACUAGCAAAUUGGAUUUUGUUUCCUUUGCAACAUUUUUCCAUCCAUUAGCCAGUUUUUUUAUACUGUUUGGUGCUUGCCAACAUGGCACACACUAUGGUUCUUAAAAAGUAUUUUUUUUUUUAAGAUACUACGAAAUAAAAUACACGAUUGAAAGAUGAGUCACAAUAAUUUUCAAAACUAAAUUUUUUAAUAUUGUUAAGAAAAUUUGACCACCAAAUGAUUGAUUUUAAAUUACAAAUACUUUUGUUAGCUAAGAAAUUUGUUGUUCUAUUUGUUUCCCUAUAAAUAUGACAACAAUCAUAAAUAUUUUCAUUUUAAGAUAAUUUUCAAAUAUCUUCCAUUAAUAAUAUAAUAGAAUUAGGAAUUUUUUUUUUAGUUAUAACAAUCUAUAAUUAUUUAAGAGUCUUCCUCAAUCUCUAGGUUUAAGAACUUAUUGUUCUUAACAACUAACAUGUCAUCUCUUAAAAUAAUACAUUCUGCAAUAAUUAUUGAAAUAUGAUAUAAUAUAUAUAUCUACUUACAACCAUUUUUGUAGUACCAUUAGAAUUUUUAAUUACCCAUUCUAAAGUAUUUUUAUUCUCUAUUCUUAAACCAUCAAAAUUUAAUUUAAAUCUUUCAUUAAUUGGAUAAAUCCAAUGAAUCUAACAAGUUAAAGGAUUAUGAAUCCGACAAAACAGUUGAUAAUAAAUUAAUAAUGCCAUUAAUAUGAUUUUAAUGUGAAACACAAUUAUCACAUUUAAUACAGUUAGUCCUUGUAUGAUUAAUGUUUUGGAAGCUAAAAUCAAUCUUUUGACUAUAAUAAGAGUUUCUACUAUUUCUAUUUUUGGAUGAUUUUAUAUUUUUCUUAUUGUUUUAGUUUAAUACAAAAAAUAAAAAUAAAAUUACAUUAGUAGAAUUUUUUUAACUUACUCAAAAACCUAUUUUAGUUGAAUGAUUUUUUUAAAAAAAAUAUAAAUAUUUUGUUAAAAGGGAUAAAAUAACCUUACCUUGUGAAAAAGACCUCUUCACCCAAGAUUACUUGUUCAUAAUCCUUUUAAGACGAAAAUGCCCCCUUCCUAAAAAAUAUUUCAUCUUAAACUUAUUUUUCUUUUUAUUGCCCUUUGUUCCAUCCUUCCGGCUUGGGAGAGAAAUUCAUUCUUCUUUUGCGAAGAAAAAUUCCUAUUGCGAUUUUUCAUUUCAAGUGGAAAAAAAAAUUCUUAUUUCAUUUUAAAGAAAUUGUACAUUUUCAAUCUUUCUCUUUGUUCCUAGUUGAGGGUUUUUUUUGUAAUUUUAUCUUAACACUACAAAUUUAAAGGUGAGAUUAAAUCUUAAUGGUUAUUAGUUAAAUCACAUAUCUAACUUUGUUUUUGUCAGGACCUAUAAUAUGAUUGGAACCACCAUCCAAACUUCAUUAGGUGGGAUACUCCCCACCCUCCCCCUCCCCCCGCGAAAUCCUUGGAUUUUAGUUUUGACUUGGAUUUCAAUUGCCCGUAUCAAUUUUUCUUUAUUUAUUAAUUUAUUAAUUUUCAACUUUAACAAAAGCCUUGAAUCAUAUUUAAAUUCAAAUAACUUAAUCCUAAUUAAGUUCUUUUUAAAUAAAAAUUAAUCAUUGAAAAGUUCAUGUGACUAUUAUAAUUGAGAAUUUAUCCCAAGUUGGGUUUUUUGCAAAUAAAAUUUUAUUAUAGGACAUCAUGAUGCAACAUAACAUAAGGUUGUUACUUAAGUUUGUUUUGACCUUGUAAUAUGUUAAAAUGAAAAUGAAGCCAUUGUAACAGGAGAGAAUGAUGAAGCUGUGGAGAGAGCUUAACAAAGCUUGGGUUGGAGAGACUUCACAGGAAGAGAGAGAGAGAAAUAAAGGGUAAAAUUAUCAAAAGAGAAAAGAAAAAAAAAAAAAAAAAAGAAGGUUAUGUCUUCAAAUAAUCAAUAAGAGAUGUCAUUUUUCUAAUUUUCAAAGUUCUUUUGGUCCUUCUCUACAAAUAUCCCUAUAAAAAUAUUAUAAUAUCAAGUUAAUUUGUCAAUACCAAAAUUUAUAUUUUAUAUUAGGGCGACUAAAUAACAUAUAGAAAGAAUUUUAAAUGAGUAAAUCAAAUCAAUUUUGAAACCAAAACUUAAUAAUUACCAAACUUGUAAUCUUAGUCAUUAAAAGUGUACGAUGAAAUCUAAAUUAUUAAGCAAUGAAACAAAAAAUUAAGAUUAAAAUACAAAACGUUAAAAUCAAGAUACAAACUAUUAAAAUGUAAGUGGGAUAUGAGAUGAUAUUAUAAAAAAUAGUGUGAUCCAACAAAAAGUCUAGUACAUCAUUAUCUUCACUUCCAACCAUGUUUAAAAGGUCACAAGUUCUAGCGGUUUCCAAGGACAAUGUUAAAAAUAAUAAAAAUAAAUCCAAUUAAAUAUUAAUUAAUUUAUUUGAAUUUGAGUCCGACAAAAUAGUUGGUAAUAAGUUAAUAAUGCCAUUAAUAUGAUUUUAAUGUGAAACACAAUUAUCACAUUUAAUACCCGUUAGUCCUUGUAUGAUUAACUUUUUAGAAAUUAAUAUCAAUCUUUUGAUUAUAAUAAGAGUUUCUACUAUUUAUAUUUUUGGAUGAUUUUAUAUUUUUCUUAUUGUUUUAGUUUAAUACAAAAAAAUAAAAAUAAAAUUACAUUAGUAGAAUUUUUUUUAACUUAUUCAAAAAACCUAUUGUAAGGUGAAUGGUUUUUUUAUUUUUUUUUUAAAUAUAAAUAUUUUCUUAAAAGGGAUAAAAUAACCUUACCUUGUGAAAAAAGGCCUCUUCACCCAAAUUUACUUGUGCAUAAUCCUUUUCAGACGAAAAUGCCCCCUUCCUAAAAAAUAUUUCAUCUUAAACUUAUUUUUCAUUUUUAUAACCCUUUGUUCCAUCCUUAUGAUUUGGGAGAGGAAGUCAUUCUUCUCUUGUGAAGAAAAAAUUCCUACUGCCAUUUUUCAUUUCAAGUGAAGAAAAAUAUUUAUAUUUCAUUUUAAACAAAUUGUACAUUUUCAAUCUCUCUUUGUUCCUAGUUGAGGUUUUUUUUUUUUUUUUUUUUUUUUGUAAUUUUAUCUUAAUUGUACAAAUUCGAAGAUGAGAUUAAAUCUAUAAUGGUUAUUGGUUAAAUCACUUAUCUAACUUUGUUCUUGACAGAUCGUAUAAUAUGAUUGGAACCACCAUCCUAACUUUAUUAGGUGGGAUCCCUUUUUUUUUUUCCCCAAACCCUUGGAUUUUAGUUUUGACUUAUAUUUCAAUUGUCUGUAUCACUUUUUCUUUAUUUAUUAAUUUUCAACAAGUUCUUUAACAAAAGCCUUGAAUCAUAUUUAAAUUCAAAUAACUUAAUCCCCAUUAAGUUCUUUUUAAAUGAAACUUAAUCAUGUGAAAGUUCAUGUGACUAUUAUAAUUGAGAAUUUAUUCUUAGUUGGGUUUUUUGUAAAUAAAAUUUAGUUAUAGGACUGUGAUGAUCCGUUCUCAACCGUAUAAAUAUUGUUCGUUUUGAAUUCAAAAUAACUUUUACGGCUUUAAAACAUGUUUACAAGAUUAAGAGGAGUCCAUAUUUAUAUAGCUUCACGAACUUUCCCCCCUAUUCGAUGUGGGAUGUCACAAGGACAUCAUGAUGCAACGUAUAACAUAAGAUUGUUUCUUAAGUUUGUCUAACCUUGUAAUGUGUUAAAAUGAAGAUGAAGCCAUUAUAACAGAAGAGAAUGAUGAAGUUGUAGAGAGAGCUUAACAAAGCUUGGGUUGGAGAGACUUCAUAGGAAGAGAGAGAGAGAGAGAGAGAGAAAUAAAGGGUAAAAUUAUCAAAAAAGAAAAAAGAAAAAAAAGAGGGUGAUGUCUCCAAAUAAUCAAUAAGAGAUGUCAUUUUUCUAAUUUCAAAGUUCUUCUGGCCCUUCUCUACAAAUAUCCCUAUAAAAACAUUAUAAUAUCAAGUUAAUUUGUUGAUACCAAAAUUUAUAUAUUAUAUUAGGAUGACUAAAUAACAUAUAGAAAGAAUUUUAAAUGAGUAAAUCAAAUCAAUUUUGAAAUCAAAACUUAAUACCUACCAAACUUGUAAUCUUAGUCAUUUAAAGUGUUCCAUGAAAUCUAAAUUAUUAAGCAGUGAAACAAAAAAUAUAAGAUUAAAAUACAAAACGUUGAAAUCAAGAUUCAAACUAUUAAAACGUAAGUGGAGACGUAAGAUGAUGUCAUAAAAAAUAGUGGGAUCCAACAAAAAGUCUAUUAAUCAUUAUCUUCACUUCCAAUCAUGUUUAAAAGGUCACAAGUUCUAGCGGCUUUCAAGGACGAUGUUAAAAAUAAUAAAAAUAAAUCCAAUUAAAUAUUAAUUAAUUUAUUUGAACAAUAGAUAGGACCAAAAUAAUAUUCUAAAAGGAAUCAUAGGGAAGUCCUUGGACAACCUACGACAUUGAACAAAGGUACAGUGAGACAAUGCACUUAGCCCUUCCUUGUCAUUGCGAUGAAUAUAAAAAGACACCCUGAUUGAGGGUGCCCCACUAAGCCAAGAGUGAUUCUUUUGUAUUGUAUAACGUGAAUAUUUUUGAACUUUGAAUGACCCUUCCUAUAGUCAUCAUUGUCAAAACUAGAAAAUCAGAAAGAUGCGAUGUACGAAGGCACCAUUGAAUAAGAGGCUUAAUUCUCUUUGGCAAUUAGGAUAAAGUUUCAAAAUAGAAAAAUUAAACAAAUGUACAGUGUACGGACACUUGGGCAUUGCCUAUUUGUUUUGUUCUUCUAGAGUUGUAUAUGGUAAAGGUCAUAUUGGGUUGGUUCUAUUUGGUUAUUGAAGUCGGCUAGAAUAUUAGAUUUGGUUUCAAUCUAAUCCCAUAUGAUAUUAGAAUACCAGCCCAUACAGAAUUUUUGACCAAAUAUAAUAUUUCUUUUAAAUAUAAAUAUAGUAAUUAAUUUUAGUCUAAGAUUAAUUAUGUAGUUUCCUAAAGAGACCACUUCCUAAACGGUAGCUAUGUGGAAGUUGGGCCAGGUCCUGCCGAGAAGGUUUCCACGAGCUGAGCCCAAAACUGAGUAGCUGUGAUGGGAUCAUUCUAGCAUUCAGCCUGAAACUUGUAACAUAACGGAUCGAGAGGCCUGAACUCCAAGACCAUGGUUCGUCAGCCCAUUAACUUCAACAGCACGCAUUUUAGAGGACUGGGCUUGCAAGGGGUGAGGUUUCCGGGCCGCGACCCCAAAUAUGAACAGCCUCAGAAGUGAUAUUGCUUACUGGCACGUGAAGAGCGCAAGCGUAACUAGAAGAUUUGUAAUGCCGCUUUAAUUGUUUGAUUAUAGAAUCCCACGCAUUACGCAUGGAAAGUGUAAAAGAUAAAAGAUGUAGAAUUUUUUCUUAGAGAAAAGUUCGUUUGGAUAUAGUUAUUGUUUUUUUUUUAAAUAAUAAUUGUUUUUUUUAUAAAUUAUAGAUAAUCUUAGAAAUUUAUCUUUAAAAAAAUAGUUUUUAAAAAUAUUUAAGGAGAAUAAAAGUGAUAAAAAAAAACUUUACAAUUUCAAAUUUUUAAAAAAUGAAAAUUAUUUUUAAGAAUAUAAGUUAAUCUCCUGCAUUUAAAUCUUAGGUGGUUUUUGUUUUUUUUACUUUUCGCUGAAAACAAUUUGUUUUCAAAAUUUAGGUCAUUUGUUUUUUCUAUUUUUUCAUGAUUUAUUAUAAAUUUUUUACUAAAUAAAAAAAAUCAAAAUAUGUAACUUUUUCUAAAUAAAAAAAAUAACGUAUUGAUUUUUCUUUACUUUUUAAUACUUAAUAGAUAUAAAAUACUACAAAAACAAAAAAUCUAAUAUUUAACACUAUUAAGCAUUAAAGUUCUAUUUAGAAUUAAGUAAAAAAACAAACACCACCUUAUAUUUUAUAUAAAAGUUACUUAUAUUUUGGUUUUUGGAAAUAAAAAAUAUAAAGCAUAUCCAAACAUGAGCUUAGCUAUUUUAAAUCAUAUCAAAAUAAUAAUCCCAAUAAGGUAAAUGGACUUUUAUACGGAGAAUAAUCUUUAAGGUUUUCAUUUUUAUUGGAUUUUUUUUUUGUGGUGUUUUUUCAAUCCAUCUUCUCAAUUAAUUCCUUAAAAUUAUUUUACUGUUUUUUUUUUUUUCAGUUUCUAAAUAUUUGAUUUUUCCAAAAUGCUUAAAUGGAAGACACUAAUUUUUCAAGAUAUUUGGUAUUACAAUUUUCCCUGUUCUCCCUAUUAUCUAUCAGAUUCAUGGCCCUUUUGUUUUUUCAUUGGUUUUCAAUUUAAUUUUCCAAAUAUUACAUUGUUGUGUUUUGAAUUUGUGAAACCAAUUUUAUAUAUAUAUAUAGUAUGUAAGUCUACUUUGGGUAACAUGUACAGAGAGGUUUUCAUGUGUUUGAAACCUUUUACCUCAAAAAUUAAUUAUUUUUAAUUUUAUAAUAAAUCUUUUUUUAUUUUUUAUUUUAUUUAGGAAAGCCUAUAUUUAAACUACAUGUUUGCAACGCAACACCAUACAUACUCCUAGUGGAACUUACCUUAGUGCUUGAGGGGGAUGCAGAUCUUCUUCUAAACCUAACUAAUAAGCAUAAAAUUGUUCACUAAUUAGCAUAUCUAGUAAAUCAUACAAAUUGGCAAUAUUUCAUGUUUUUCAUGUUUUGUCAAUAAAAGGCGUCUUGACCAUUUUGUGAGUUUUGUAAUAAAUAAAAAAAAAAAAAAAAAAAGGGCAAAAGGUGACUAAAAUGAGGCACUUUGGAAAGGUUAAUAACCUAAAAGGAAGAUGAAUUAAUACCCCCUUAUUCCUCUUCAAAAACCAUUGAGAAAAUGCAAGAAAUGCUCUUAGUUGUAUGCUAGGCUAACAGCCUAGCAACCAUAAUACCCUUCUUUGCAAUUGUAAGCAUUUUUUUUUUUUUUUUGAAGGCCAAACAACGUUGCAAACUUCCCAAAUCCCUUCUUUAUUUUUUAUUUUUUUAUUUUUGUUUUUAGAAGGAGAAUGAAUUUGAUGACAAACUCCUUGUCAAUCUUAUCCAAACCACGAUCGAACAGAACUCCUUGUCAAUCUUAUCCAAACCGUGUUCCACCUCAAAAACAUGUGUAGGACUUAAGGCAGCAACUGGCAAGCAUGACUGAUAGGGCCAAGUGCCCUUGUCUCUACAAUCCAUUAAGUUAACCAAGGGCAGUGAACCAUCAUUCUUUUCAAAAGCUUCAUUCCGUGUUGAAAAUGUGAGACUGAAGCAUGGUGCCCCCAAAAAUAACGAUCUAUUUACUAGCAGCAUGCCUGGACCCAUUAAAAAUACUCUACUUUAGGAAUAGAAAAAAUUACAUCUUUAUCCAAUAAUUUUAUAACAAUUCAGACGUUUCAGUCUAUAAAUAAUUGUACAUAGUUGCCAACGUUUAGCUAGUUUCAAAUGAAUAGCCUAGGUUCAUGCACCAGUUUGGCUGGUGGAGGAAAGGGAUUCGAGACAUUGAACCCUCUUUUUAGUGUGCCAAAUAUUCCACAAAAAUCACUACCUUCUCUUUGUGUUUGUUCACUUUUAGUUUAUAUUUAAUAAAUCUAUGUUUUCGAGUAGAGGUUGGGUUCAGGUGCGACCCACGUCACCUCUCGGACGGUCUUGAAAAAGGAGACCGGACCACGUAAUUUCAAAUGUAGUGACCAUCUCACUUUUACCUCCAUCCUUGAAGAUGGUUUCCCAAAUCAAUAUUAAUCUUUUGUUUACGACAAUAUCGAUCACUUUAUGUCUAUAUCGUUGUUAAUUUACCUUUUUUUUUUAGCCACAUUAUUUGAAAAUUGAUGCAAACUUUACCAACAUCUUGGUACCAUUUUAAAAUAUUAGAGUUAUUUGAUUAAAAAAAUAAAAUAAUCUCGAUAACUUGUUUAUAAAAUAAAUAUCUUUUAACAUUUAGACUAUUCUCACGCAUGCUUUAAAAUUGUAAAGAUAUUCAUAAAGUGGAACUUUAGACUUAAUCAAUAUCGAUCACUUUAUGUCUCUAUUGUUGUUAUAUUUUUUUUUUACAACAUUAUUUGAAAAUUGAUGCAAACUUUACCAACAUCCUAAUACCAUUUUAAAAUAUUAGAGUUAUUUGAUUAAAAAAAUAAAAUAAUCCCGACAACUUGUUUAUAAAAUAAAUAUCUUUUAAUAUUUAGACUAUUUUCACCAUGCUUUAAAAUCAUAAAGAUAUUUAUAUUCAUAAAGUGGAACUUUAGACUUAAACAUGAUAAUAGUUUUUUUACAAUAUUAUAAUUAUUUUAUCGUUUUAAUUAAGCCCUUUAUCAUACAUAUAAAUGUAAAUUAAUGCUAAAUUUUUAAAGCAACGUAUAACCUUUUACAUCUUUUUUUAAGAUGGUGCGAAAAUCCUAUGAAAAAUAAUAAAAGUCGAUGCAUAAGAAGAUUGUUUUGAUAAUUCAAUAGAAAAAUUCUUUUAAAAUGAUAUUAAAAAAUACCCAUAGAGCCUUUAUUAAAAAAAUCAAUUAUUUUCAUAAUAAAAAUUAUAAUUUUUUAUUAUGUAUUAUUAUUUUUAAGUAUCUUUAUUACAAAUACUUUUUUUGAGUUUAUGAGAGGAAUCAACAGGUUGGUACAAGCUUAGGCGUCCUCGUACAUGUUCCCGCUGUGCAAGGUUUUUGUCUUGUUUCGAGCUAGUCGGAAUUUACGUGUUUGAUAACGUUUUGUCCUAUUUUUGUAACGCUUUAAAGGGCGGCCCACCGUUGGAACAGUUCAAGCCAUCCAAAUCAGCCCGGAGGGUUAUGGCGACGUGGCAUGACGCCUACCACCUUAGUUCACAUGAACCCUAUGAUCGUACUACCCUCACAUGACAUCUGUGAUUCUUCACCUCCAAACCCUCUUUAACUUGGUAAUGUAUUCAAAGCUUCAUCAAAUCAUAGCGAUUAGCGACCCUCUUCCACCCUAAUUUUAUAAUAAAAAAUAAAUCUUAGUGGACAUUAAAGUAGUAUUUUGUGGGGGGAAAGAAAAACUCUAUGGGCGUAUCCACUAAAUACGAGCCAAGUAUAAGAGUUAUCACCAUGGAAUCAAAUUAUGAAGCAUUGACAUUUUAAUUGUAUUCAGAUUUGAGGAGGGCACCGCGGCACCAGCUGGCCCAGUGUAGUCUGCUAGCCUACCCGCCAUAAUGACCAAAUUAAUAAAGUAAAAAGGAUUACAGGGAUAUUCCCAACUUUAUUCUGGGUCUGAGCUGGAACUUGGGAGUUAUCACGAUCAACGGGAAAGAUGGUGGGUAGGGGACGAGGAUUGAGGGCUCCAUAUUCACAUCAGUGAAAAACGAAAUGUAUUGAGACAAGUCUUCUAAGGAUUUUCUAGCGUAUUAUAUGGUUUAAAUGAUUAUAAAUCUGUAGUUACUGGUAAAGAGUAGAGAGUGAAGACGAAAGACGUUGAGUGAAAAGGAAGGAGGAGAGGGGAUGGGGCCAUCUUACCGUGUCGGGGAGGAUCCAUAAAAGGACUACGUUCCCUGAAUCUGUAGGCAUCAUGCCUCGCCUAACGGGUUAGUCAAAAUACAGUGAUGUGUGUGAGUUGGGGGCCUCACUCCUCAUUUCUUUCCUUCUUUUCACCCCCACCCCCACUUUUUUUUUUUUUUUUUCGAAUUUUUCUUUGUCCUUUUCUCUCACUUGCGCACGCGGGAGAAGGACCACAAACUAGACAAUUCCUCUGCUCACGUGACCCCGAGUUUUUAAAUAUUUGCCUAUUUGGAAAAUAGUCAUGAAUCAUGAUCGUUAACAAACAAUCUUCACUUUAUUUAUUUAAGAUCUAUUUUUUGGAGCUCUAGUUUAGUUUAUUAUUAUUAUUAUUAUUAUUAUUAUUAUUAUUAUUAUUAUUUAGUAACUCCUCUUAUAUUAAUGAAAAAGAGAGGAGGAAUCCAAACUUGUUUAUUCUUCCUCUUUUAAGGUGUUUGUUUUUUUUAUUUUAUUUUUAUGCUUCAUAUGUCUUCAAUUUCUUAGCAUUUGUCUUAUAUUUCUUCUUAUCCGAUUCAUUAUUGCAUCCUUGGUCAAUCUUUCACGAGGAGUGCCUACUUUUUUCCUUUUUAUUAUUUAAUUCACUUUAUCUUUAUAUUUUCCUUUUACACUUUAUUUCCAAUUCAAAACGUGUCAAAAAAAAAAAUUGGUAACAAAAAAAAAAAAAAAAAUCAAUUGUAAUGAUUCUUAUAUAAUUUUAUUUAAUUUUUAUUAAACAAUAAAGAAAUUAAAAAUAUAUAAAUUUUUAAAUAAUUAUUAUAGUCUUUCAUUUUUGUGUAUAAUUUCUUUUGCAAGAAAUAGUGUAGGCUUUCCACGGUCUAAAGGAAAUGGAAUAUCAAAUGAGAAGGUAAUAAUAAUAAAGUGAGUUAUAGAUACUAAUCAAACUAAUCCACUAAUGAAUUAUUUAUUUUUAUUUCACAUGGACAAAUCCUAAAAGUUGGAGUUCUAAUUUACUUUUAUGUUAAGCUUUUUUAAGUAAAAAUCUUUUAUUAUUAUAAUUUAUAGACAAAAAGAAACCCAUUAAUGUGAUGGAUAAAAAAUUUCAAUUUAAAAAAAAAAAAAUUAAAGUUGCUAAAUUUUUGUAUUUAUUAUUUCAAACUCAUUUAAAUAAUUUAAAAAUAUGUCUUCAAUUAAUUUUAAUGAAACAAAGCAUGAUUUUUUUUUAAUUUUUUUUUCUUUACCAAAUAAAGCAUUAUUAUAAUACGUUGAUUAAAUUUUCAUCAUGUCUCUCAAGAUUUGGAUUAAAUAUACUUAGUUGUCAUAAAUUUGAAAUUUUAUUUAAUGUAUUUUUUAUUUUAAAUUAAAAAGAUGAAUGCAAAUAAAAAAAAUAUGUAUAUUUUAUAAAAUUUUAAAUUAAACGAAGGAUACGUGUAUUUAACCAAGGUGAAUGAAAUUAAUCCAAAUACUUUUUGGUAACUUGCAAAAUAUCUUGACGAAAUCAUUAUGGCAGGCAUCGUACAAGCUCAACCCUUGUCGCCUUGCUAGAAAUAGAGAAACAAAAAGACCCCCAAAUUGGGUUGCAUCCUAAAUAUGAAGAAGUGGUAACAAAGGAAGAAAAAAUGCUGUGUUAUUGAAUAGUUAAUACAUUGAACAUGAUAUGUUACAUAGAGAGCCAGAUUAAUCCUAGUGGAAUUCCACUGUCACGAUGGUAACCUAGGGUUAUGUUUGGUUAUUGAAAAUACCAAGAAAAGAAAAAAAAAUAUAAAGGAAAAUAAUUUUUUCAUUUUUGAUUGUCUUAUAAAAGAUAUAAAAAAAAAACAAAUAUAAUUAAAACUAAUUAAAAAUUUAGGUAUUUUUAAAUUAUUUAAUUUUUAUAUUAAUGAGCGAAAAUAAAUAAAAUAAGUUUAAAAUAACAAAAAAAAUAAUUUACCGAUUUUUAAUCUAUAUUUUAUUUUACUUUUUCUUUGUAUUUUUUUUUUCUUAUAUUUUCCCUCAAAUUUUCUGAAUCAAACAUAGCAAAAAAGGAGCUACCCCUUUCGAAAGAAACUCCCAAGAAUUUCAAAGAAACCUGCUGAGAUAAUGAAUGAGGGAUCACUGUCGGUAAACAGUAUCCAUUCUUUUGGGAGGACUUUCAAACUGAGAAGUUGUUUUCAUGACUUGGAAACAAAAUUUUGAGCUCUAAGGGGGUCUGUAUUUGGGCCCUAAAAUUCAAUCCAUCAAUCUGAAAAAUGCUUAGGAUAAUGAUUUGAUUUAGCCACAAUCACUAAACAAAUUCCAGAGGAAAAUUUCGCUACUCAUAGGUGGCUGAUUCUCAUAAAAAGACAUCGUGGUAGGGUGUCUCAAGUGCAGGCUCACCAUCAACUUGCUGCCCUUUUUAGAUUAUUGUAAAAUGAUUUCACAUGAAGCCCAAUGCAAAACUUUGAAAGAAAAGGUUGGUGGAGACGUGAAGAAUAUGUAACCCAUAGGCCAUAACUAGUACCGAAGAUUAUUGAACAAACAUUCAAGGUUUUUGUAUAGACGAAACUGAAAAGAAUGUGUACCAGACUCAGGCGUUCAGAUCAGAUGAUGCCGUAAUGUGGAUUGUGGAGGAGCAUUGUGCAGACAGAUAAUGAGAUUCUGAAAGCGAGGCCACUGAUGGGCCCUUGGAAGGGGGGCGUGCCUUCAAAAUUAUAUAUAUAUAUAUAUAUAUGUCAUUGAAAAUUGGAAGCAACUUUUCUUCUUAAGUUAUUUUAAUCGAAGAAGAAACAAAAAGUUAAAAACAUACAUUAUUCUUCCUUCUUACGAGGUUUCCGGGUCUAAAUUACUAUGGUCUCUGCAACUGGCGUCGUUUUCUCUCCCCUCUCUCUAUUUUCCCUUUAUUUUUUCACUUUUAGAAAGAAGCAUCCCAUCAAGAAUCUACUACAACCCUACGCUUCCAUUUUGAUUUAGAAAGUUAAAAAUAAGUUUAAGUUAAAAAAAAAUAUUUUCUUAUAUAAUUAUUUAAACUUAUUUCUUUUCCUUUUUAUAUAAAGAAACAAAUAUUUUGCAAAUAAAUAAAUUUCUAAUUAUUUUCAUUAACAUAAUAAUAAUAUUUUUCAUAUGACUUUAAUCACAAUUUUUUUUACCACUUGUCCAAGGCGGUGAGAGGUGAUAAAAUGUAUUAAAAAAACGAUUAAAUUGCAUUAGGUAUAGAAGUUUUGUGCUUCAAUUAUCACUUAUAAAAAUAAAAUAAAAAUAGUCAAAUUUGAGUGUGCAAGUUGGUAUUCGUAUGUAGAAGGAAUUGGGGGAUUUGGGGGUCCUAACAAAUUUGAUAUGAUUGAUGGAAGGAAAUGAUUAUUAUAGGAUAAAGUCCGAAUGAAACGCUGACGAGGGGGGAAAAACAACAGUGGCAAUGCACUAUCCACAGAUCCAUGAUUGAUUUAUGUUAGCAAUAAUGAAUUAUUUUGACUUUGAUAACCUUGGUUAAGAGAAUUUGGUCUUGUUAUUAUCAUUUUUUCAAAAAAAAAAAGUGUAGGUAACUAGGUAGUUGAUUUAUUAGAAUUUAGAAAUGAGGAUCCCCUCCUCCUGCAAGAGCCGUGACAGACAUGCCUGCUUUCUUGCCAGAUUAUACCAAUGUGCCCAAAUAAUCCCCCAUCUAUCAUCUCUGCACCCUGGAACACGUCACUCCCUCCUUUGAGCAAUAAAAUAUCUCUUUUAUUUUCUUUUGAACCACUCUUCUAUUUCUUUGUACCAGACUGGACCCAUUUAAAUUCUUCGCUACGCUGUUCCCAAGGACUACGAGAAUCAAAAUAGCAAAAUUCUUGAAUCAUUUUAAUGGGUUCAGAAACCACAUGUUUCUCUAGAUCAUAAGAGGAAAAUCUUUUUGGAUGGUGUUUGUGUUGUGUUGUGUUCAAUAUUAAAUACUCAAUUAAAUAAGCUAAAUCAAAUAUCACAUGAAAAAUAAUCAAAUUAAAAAUAGGGAGAAUUAUGUUUUGAGGGUAGAUGGACCCCAAAUUAACAAAAGGUUCAUGUAACUCUUCAAAUUGAGCCCAGACCCAAUGAAAAUAUGGAAAUUGAGUUGAAGUAUAUCAUCAUUCAGUAUUUCCAAAAAUGUCCUUUGUUGAUUUUGAGAAAAAAAUUAAUAUUUUUGAAAAAUAUUUUUAUGUAAUUUAAUAUUUUUUUAAAUACUUUUAUUUAAUUUAAUAUUUUUAAAAAAUAAAUUUAUUUAAUUUAAUAUUUUAAAAAAUAUUUAAUUUAAUAUAUUUUUUAAAUACUUUAAUUUAAUUUAAUAUUUUUGAAAAAAAUUUUAAUUUAAUAUUUUUGAAAAAAAAAUUAUUUAAUUUAAUAUUUUUUAAAACUAUUUUUAUUUAAUUUAGUAUUUUUGAAAAAAAAUUAUUUAACUUAAUUUUAUAAAAUAUUUUAUAUGUGUUCUUAAAGGGUAUAUUUGUCCGUUACUAUUUCAUAUCCUUCAACUCAAUUUAAAGAGUUAUAUGGACCUUUUGUUAAUUUGGGGACCCAUCUACCCUCAAAAGAUAAUUCUCCCUUAAAAAUAUAAAUUUAAAUAUGACAUAAUUAUUAAAUAUGUUAGAUCUUGUAUGAGUUUAUAAGAUUUAUGUUUCAAAAUAACAUGUUUAUAAUUCAUCUAUUGAUUUAUAAUCAAAUUUUAAAUAAAUUAAAGUUAUUCAAGUUAAUAAAUAUGAUUUAUGUUAUAAAGACUAACUAAAAAAUAAUUUAUUAAUUAAACGGAUCCUGGUCAAUAAAAAUUUGAUUUAAAUACGAUCAUACUUAAUCAAAACUUAGGUCAAAUUGUAUUGAUAAAUUACAUCAAAACCUUGUUGUGUUCAAUAUUUUAUAUUAAACUAUUUUUUAAUAAAAUUAUUUUUAUAAAUAUAAUAUUACAUCAUUUGGAGAAACAAAAUAGUAUUAUAUUGAUUUUACAUAUAAAGCAACCAGUUAACCCCUCAUUAUUUUGAUCCAUUUCACAUCCAUAUCAUUCUCAUAAUUUUUUUAUAAUAUAUUAACAUGAUGGACGGUAAUUGAGGGUAGAAAAAAAAGAUGAGAAGAAUAAAAUAAUGUGAAUCCUCUCUAAAUGUUACAUCUUCUGACAAAUGAAGUCUAUAGAAAUGUGUAAAAAAAAAAAAAACACUUAAUUGUGAGGUUCACUUGAUUUAGCAAAAAAUUAAUAUUUUAUUUGUUGUGUGAUUUAAAAAUAAUAUUUUAUUUUUAAAAAUAAAAAAUUAUUUUUAAAGUUUUUUAACACUAUUUUACUAUUGUUCUUUGAAAUAAUUUUUAAAAUUAAAAUGAAAUAACUAAUAAUUUUUAGAUAAUAAAUUAAAGUUGUUUUUAUUAGAUUUUAAAAAUAAAAGAAAAAUAUAAAACCAUUUGAUCAAAUUUUUUUAAACUUAUUUUUAAAAGGUUUUUUUUUUUUUUUUUUUUUUUCUAUCCUAAGUUAAAAGAUAAAAAAUAAUUUUUAAAGAUAGGUUACGAGCAAAUGCCACAAACUUUUUUCUUCUCUUUCCCUUGUUCGGAUAGAAGUGAAAAAUAUCCUCCCAUGGAUCGACAUUACGUGAGCCAUCACCAUUCCCCAACUGCAAUUCAACCGCCAAAGCUGAGGUGUCAUUAUUAGUUUGAACAAAAGUCAGCAUUGUCCACGUGGUGACAAGCGGAACUGACCCAACUUGCAAGGCAAAAAAAUAAAUAAAAUAAAAUGAAAAAAUCAGAUCACCAUUAUGACGUCAGUCCAAUUGCUGACCUGGCCGCCGUCCCCCAUUUGACCCACGUGUUCAUUUAACCCAUUCGCCGUAUGCCGUGGCUCCCCACCCAUAUGGCCAUAUCUGCCAUUUAUUUUAUCCGUUGCCUCCAUUCGGUUUUUGGAUUUUACCCAUUCGCCCUCGUCUAUUCCCAUUUCCGUAUUUGCCCACCAAGGAAAUUCAAUUCCCAUGCUUUUGUUUUACAUUCAAAUCCUCCCCCCUCUAUAUAAAGGAGGGAGUAGGGCUUGAAAGUUUCUCAAGCCAACAUGGACUGUUGAGAGUGAAAGACAGAGGAGCCACAAACAAAUAUCACUCACUCAAACCAAAGCCAAAACCAAUACCGAAUUCAAUUCAAAUGACUUCUUUCUCUCUCAUCAAUUCCCUGAAUUCCGAUUCCGAUUUCAAUUUGUUAUCGGAUUCUUUUUCCUGGGAAAACUCCCUACCUUUCAAUGAAAACGACUCCCAGGAGAUGCUCCUCCUGGGCAUGCUGGCCAGCUCCACUCAGGAAACCUCAGAAACAGUUUCUUUGAAUCGAGUGAAGGAGGAAGAAGUGACUUCCCAGGAAAAUCCCGAGAAGGAGAAGUCAUACAGAGGCGUUAGGAGGCGGCCAUGGGGGAAAUUCGCAGCAGAAAUAAGGGACUCGACCAGGCAUGGCAUAAGGGUGUGGCUGGGAACAUUUGACAGUGCAGAGGCAGCUGCUCUGGCCUAUGAUCAAGCUGCUUUUGCGAUGCGGGGCCCUGCGGCAGUCCUCAAUUUCCCGGUGGAAAGAGUGAAGGAAUCGAUGCAGGAGAUCAAGUGCAUCUUGGAGGAGGGGGGCUCACCAGUGGUGGCCCUCAAGAAGAGGCACUCUAUGCGGAGAAAAAGUCCUUGCAAGAAACAUAAAAGUGAAGAGGUGAGGUUAGAAAAUGUGGUAGUGCUGGAGGAUUUGGGUACUGAAUACUUGGAACAGCUCCUCACUUUCUCUGAGACCUCUAGUCCUUGAUCAUCAUCAUCCAUCACCUGGAUAGCUUCUUCUCUUUGCUCUGUUUCUUACUUUUCUCUCUCUCUCUCUCUCUCUCUCUCUUUUUUUUUUAUGUAAUUUUUCUUAAUGUAUUUUUGGAGAUGGCGGGGGUGUAGUGGUGGCAAUUAUCCAUCUAGAAUUUUUCAAAAGAUAUGUUCUUUUGUUUCUUUGUAUAAAGUUGAAAAGUGGGGAUCAAUUGUGAUGGUGCUCUAUGUUCAUCCACCCAAUUUAUAUAAUCAAGGUGAUUAAUGUUUUUUGAUAUCAACAAUUUGUGAAUGACAUAGAGAGAGAGAGAGAGAGAGACCUUAUUUUCUACACUCAUUACGGUGGUUUCCAUUUGGGGAAGGAAAAGGAAAUGGCUAAGAAUGUUACCAAAAGAAGUGGGGUGGCUUUCAUAUGCGUGGUGGCAUACUUGCAUACAAACUUUUCAAUUGUGUUCUGCAUGCCACUCGGGUCAAUUUCAUUUCUUUUACUCCUAGUAGCCUAAUUGGAUUUCCUUUUUCUCAUGAGACAUCAAAUAAAUUUCAUUUUUUUAUAUUUAAAUAGUUAGGUAAGUUUGAUAGUGAGUUAUAUUUUAUACAUUAAUUCAUCUUUUAGAAUGUUGUCUACAAUAUAAACAGUGUAAUUAAUUUCAUCAUUACAGAACAGUCAUCUUAUAAAAUAACAUAAAAAUUAUUGGAUCACUUGUAUGGCACCACUGAUUUGGACUUGGUAUGGCUCUGUUUGGCUUCAUAGAAAAAAUUUGGACCCAAUUUGAAUGUCUUGCAUAAAAAGAGAUACGUCCCACUUUGAAUGAUAUUGAAGAAAAAAAUUUCUGAUGAAGAAUAUAUUGUUGGCAGGGUCAUGCAGGCCAAUAGGGAAACGAUAAAUUCAGAAGAAUGAGUCCAAACCAGUGGGCUUGAAAAUUAAGAAGAGAAUUGCUGUAUAAAACAAUCAUUUCUUAAUCGAGUUCACUUUCUGAAUAAUCGUCACUUUGAGAAUGCAUACUUAGGAAGAUGAUGAUCCUUAAUGGGAAUAAUCAAAGGCAUCAAAAAAUUGUUCUGGAACAAUUCUUGAUUGUCUCCAGUAAAAUUCAAAGUCAAAAGUCAAAAGUCCAGUCGGUCAACACCAAACCAGGCCAGUCCAAAAGACAUUAAUUUGCAAUCUAGAAUCUAUGAUGAGGUGGCGAAAUCAAACCUUGGCUUUUCACCAGGGAAUGGUACUCUGAAUUUGGUCAGUUCACUGUUUCGAGUGAAUAGGGUGUAGUAAUUAGUAAAUCAUAUUUUAGAUUUGUGUCACAAGUUACAAGGGAUAUGGGCUGACGUUCAAUUUUGGCGACAAUUUGUGGGCCCGUAUAUUUGUUGAGAUGUGGAAAUUGGGUGUGUGCUUUUUUCUGCUACCACAUAAAUAUAUUUCUUUGAAUUGAAGAGUGUUUCAGACCAUUUUUUUUCAAGUCACAAAUGGACAACUGAUUGAGAUUGUAUUGGUGAGAGUAGGAGUUUAUUUUGGGCUGGUUGAGCGAAGUUGAAAGUCGAGUUGGACCUAACCCUUGAAUUCAGCAGACUACAGUCCGAUCCUGUAUUUUGGAUUUAGGGAACCUUCUUUCCCAGAAGCUUCGUCUGGGUUUUAAAGUCUAAAUGUGGCUACUCUUAAACAUUGGAGAAAGGAUGAGCGUUCACAAGCAAAUGGGUAAUUGUGGAUGGUUCAAGGACCUGGCCAGCUGGUCUUCAAGUUUGGAUGCCGGUUUGGGCCUGAGAGAGUCUUUGCAAAGUGACUUCACUUCAGCCUAUGAGAUCAAGAUAUCAUGGUGAUGUCCGAUCACUUAGGUUUCAUUUUCACCUCGGAUUACCGUUACCAUGUUCAUGAAUAAAAAUAAAUAAAUAAAUGAAGCCUUAUAGAGAAAUUAAUGAAGUGAGCUAUACAAGCAACUGGGCCAGGAGCCUACAAGGCAGAAAUUCCCUGCCCUAGACUAGGCCGAAUAAAUUAGAUGAAUGAAUUGGGGAAACCUGGGCCAGCCACACAUCCUCCUGAAGGCUGAUGUCGAACUCGCUUACGAGGAAUGGACAUGGGAGAUUGGGCUGGGACCAAAUAACCAAUUGACAGCCCUAUCCUUGUGGCAAGACGUCAGUAAAAUGGUUCAUUCUGAUUUUACGCUGCCAUUCAAUUUAAUUUUAAUUUUUGUUUAAAGCGAUGUACAAAUUGAAUGGUGUCUAGUCACUUAAAGAGUGGUUCAUAAUACACUUAAUUUAAACAAAAAAGAAAUUAUUAGAUAGGGGAUUCUCCAAUAAAAACCACCCCAUCUUGUCAGCAAGUCCGGAAACUUCCUUCACUUAGGGCGUAUUUGUUUUUUUAACUUUAAUAUUAAAGAAAGUUGGUUAAACCUUAUGACACUUUUAUAUUAUUUUAUGAAUUUUUUUUAAUUUUUAUUUUAAUGGAAUUUUAACUUUAAUACAAGUUGGAGUAAUUCUUAUCUUAAAAACAAAUCAAAAUUACUUUAAUUUUAUAUAGAAAUAAACUUACAGUAAAUUUACCAUGAAAAUUUCUAAGUCAAAUACACCAUAAGUGCUAGUAUUUUAUAAUAUUUAGAAACAUGUUAAAUUAUUAUUAUUAUUUUUUAAAAUUAUUAGUUUUCAUAUUAGUUUUAGGGAAACUUGUGCUUUAGGUCUUUUAUUUGCAAAUAAUAUGGUUUUCAAAUCCUAAGAAUAGAAAAUAUGAGAAUCAACUGUUAAUGUGGAAAAUAAUAUCAAUUUUGUGCAAUCUCUAUUGACUCAUUUUUUUGUGCCUAGAUUGCCUUCACCCACUUCCAUGUCAACAACCACAUUAAUAGAUUGUUUUUUUUUUAUAAAACAAAUAAUUAUUAUGUUUAAAAUUUUGGGGAAACUCUCUAUCUCUCUUACUUCUUCACUACAUCCGAGACCCAUCUUCCUUAAACGUUUGCCUCUCAUUUUGCCCUAACCCCAAAUCUCAUAAAUUUCUCAUUUUCUUGCCUCAUUUGAAAUAUGAAGAUGACCGAUUCUCAAACAUCUCUGUCUCUCUCUUCACGUUUUGACCAGUCUAAUUGGAAACCCAUUUUCCAAAAACCUUCUUUCUUUCAUUUUGCCCUAACCCCACUAUCUCCCUCUUCAAGACCUAAUCACCCAAACUCGAUAUCUAUCUUCCCAAAACCUUCAAGCAAACUGAACUAGACCCAUAUCUUCUUUUUUCAUCAUCAAAGGUGAAAUUUUUUUAAGGCUUUUGGAAACCGAAUUGGAGCUUUCCCUUCUUCUGGGAUUAAUCAUUCGCAAGUGAGUUUUCCAUUUAAGGCUUUGUUUGGCUGUUGAAAUCUUGGGAUCAAAGGUCUUUUAUUUUCAGGUUUCUUGUAUUUUGCUUUAUUUUCUUGUAUAUAACAAUAAUCAUUGUAACAUAUGCUAGUAGUUACCCUUGGUGCAACUUUACAUUUCCAAAUACCCUAAAGUCCAAAGCUUUUAAUUCCCUUUUCAAAGCUUUCAACUUUGAAAGCAGACUAAACCAUAAGAACUAUGAAACUUAUAUCUCUAUCACCACUAAUUAAGCAUGUCUAUGAAUCCUUCCACUUUAAGUCACUUAUUCUCAAACCAAGAAGGGCUCCUCUCAUUCUCACCCCACCUCAUCUAAAUGAGGGAAAUGAUCAAUUGCAGCCAUGCUUUGCACCAAAUUAGAGAAGUGAUCCUCCCAAUCAUCCAUUACCAAAAAUUGAUCAUGCUGAUGAGAUCAUAAGAGUCUAUUCGGAACUCCCAGUUUACUUGCCUCUUAUCUCAGGAUCCUCCAUUACCCCCUGUCUUUCCAACAUCAAAUCAACUUGCAAACAAUUCCUUUGUAGAUAAAAUGUUUUUAAUAUUGCAAAAGGGGACUUAUCAUAAUGGUUGAAUCGAUUUAUUUGAUAUAAUCACUCAAAUUCAAGCUUAAAAUUGAUCAUAAUAAAAUGUUUUUAAUAUUGUUAAAAGGAGAUUAUAAUGGUUUUAUUUGAUAUCAUUACUAAAAUUCAAGCUUUCAAACAUGCUCUACAAAGAAGUUCUAAAAGACUACAAGAAAGAGUUUCCACUAAAGAAAAACAAUGAAACCAUUUCUACUAAAGACAAACAAUGAAACCACAGAUGCUUUGUGAAAUAUGUACCCGCACAAUCCAACAAACUUUAGAAAUUCACAAACACUACCUAGAAUUUUUGCUGACCAGCAAAAAAUUUAUGCAAUUUAAUUCUUAUUGUUAUUAUUAUUUUCAAUGUGAACAAAUAUGAUUGAAUUAUGAAGUAUUUGGCCAGAAGAGGAUCUUGCCUAAUUAUAGUCAUUAAACAACCAUUUAUACCAUAGCCUCUAGACUUUAAAAAGUUUAUAAAACUCAAGGGCUUCCACCCAAUUUCUAGAUAUCUCCAUAACAUUCUUCUGACUAUUAGAAAGCAAUUACCACUUUAAUUUUUCAUUUCAUGAGUGUUCAAUUCAGAAAAAGACCAGGAUCGAACUUGCGAUCAUGCAGUCGAAAAUCCACCUGUGCAUGAAACUAUUGCCUCACGAUUGCAAACUCAAGUUGGAGUCCAGUAACAACUCUAGGUUUGCUGAUGUGCUCCAUUUGAAAUAAAGGAACUAAAGAAUACUUUAUAAAGAUUAAUUACCUUCAUAUUUUAGGUUGGGGUUAAGGCAAAAUGUGAUAGAUUGAGAGGAAGAAAAUAUAUCUUGUUCAGGAAGCCAAUAUUUUGGAGUUCACCUUUCCAUUCGAGUCCACUCUGCUAUAGCAAAAUCAGAGUCACAACUAUGCCUCUUUAAGCUAUCCUUUAAUUGGAUGAAUUGCAGAUUUGGUUGCUGAGAAAGUGGAUAAGAAAGAAAAAUGCAUACUGUAGCUUGAGAUUAAGAGUUUGUUUUCUAAAAUGAGAGAAAGGGAAAGAGAAAAAAUGCAUAUUGUAGCUUGAGAUUAAGGGUUUGUUUUCUAAAAUGAGAGAAAGGGGAAGAGAAAUGUUCGACAACUUUGAGAUGACAAAUUUUUAGAUUUGGAAAAUUUGAGAUGAGUCUCAGGUUUUUUUUUUUUUUUUUUUGUCUUUGUCUUUGUUUUUUUUUUUUUUUUUUGUUUUUUUCCCAAAAACAACCUGUUAAUGUGGUUGUUGACAUAGAAGUGGGUGAGGGCAAAAUGGGCAUAGAAAAAAGAGUCAACACAAAGUGCACAAAACCCAUAUUAUUUUCCACAUUAAUGACUGAUUCUCAUAUUUCUUGUUCUUGGGAUUUGAAAACCAUAUUAUUUGCAAAUGGACCUCCCAAAGCACAGGUUUCCCUUAGUUUUAUGUCUCCAUCUACAUUUUACAUAUAAAUAGAUUAUUUUAUAAAAUUUGUUUUGUAGAUAUAUUAGUUAAUAAUUAUAUAAUUAAUGAUAUAGAAAACAUAUAAAAAUCAUAUUUAAAAAAGAUAAUUACAUAUUCCUCAACAAUCCAUCCCAAGAAUUCGAGGUUGAGUUGAAAACAUGUAGAGUCUUUGAUGUUAUUAUAAUCAUAUCCAACACAUAUGAUUAUUGUUUAUGAGAUAUUAUUAGAAAGUUUGUCUUAAAAUAAUUGAUUUAUUACCCACCUUUAGCAAAUGCCCAUUUUUGCGUCUUUCAAAAUUUUCAUUUUUUUUUUGUUUAAAAGAAGUAUUGUAAAGAAUGAUGAAAUAAGAAAUUUGUUGAGAAAGUGUGAGUAAAUAAUUUUACAUAAAAAGAGAUUUAAUACUUGAUAAAUAAAAUAAUAAAAUCAUGAUUUCUAGUUGUAUAGGGCCGGGUGGAUGGAGUGGCUAAGAUGUAAUUCUUGAAAUAGAGGAGACAACAUCAAUGUAUAAAAGUUUAACAGAGAAGGAAAGUGUGUUUGAAUGACUUUAUUUUCUUCAUUUAAAGUUUUGACGAUGAGUGUUUAUACAAGAUAAAUUUUCAAAUGAUAGGACUCCUAUUUACAUGGAGUUUGUGAUAUACUAUGAUUAUACAAAUUUAAAAUUCAAACAGAUUCAUGAGUUGAUAGGAGUCUGCUCAAUACGCCCCUUCAAAAUGGUGGGAGAUAGCACACCAAUCUUGACUCGAAGGGCCUAAACUCGUGCAGAAGAUGAGGGCUUUGUUAGAGCAUCGACAAGUUGAUCCGUGGUUGACAUAUGGGACACCUUGAGCUCACCUGAUUAAACCUUGUUUCAAACAAAAUGAAAAUCAAUCGCCGAUGUGUUUCAUGGAGAGUGAAACAUGGGAUUUGCACAAAGAUAUGUUGCACCCACGUUAUCACAAGAGAUAGGAGGUGGUGAUAAAUUUGAAACACUAAGUUUUGAGAGAAGAGAAUUAACCCAAAGAACCUUUGAGGCUGUAGAGGCCACGACGUGAUAUUUCGCUUCAGUGGAAGAGCGUGCUAUGAACUUUUGUUUCCUCGAUGACCAAUACACAAGAUUGUGACCAAGAAAAACAAUGGGAGCAUUGGUGGAGGAUCUGACAUAAGGAUUCCUUGCCCAUUCAACAUUCGAAUAUGCAUGUAGAUUGAUGGGCGAUUUCUUAUGCAAGAACAGACCAUGCACCAUUGUGCCGACUAAGUAUCUAAGCAAUCUUUUAACACAAGACCAAUGUGUUGAUGUUGGAUGGUGCAUAAAUUGAGAUAAUUUAUUCAUCAAGAAGGUGAUGUCAGGGCUAGUAAGAGAGAAGUAUUGAAGGCUUCCAACAAUUGACAUAUAUUUAGUGGGACCAGGAAAAGAGGUGUCAUCACACAGAUUUGGAACAUUGUUGAGGAACAUCAAUGAUUGAACUGGUUUGGUAGCCACCAUUUGUGUUUUCUUAAGAAGCUCUCGAAUGUACUUGAGAUAAAAAUAAUCCUUUGGAAGUAUGUAUCAUUUCAACACCAAGAAUAAAAGAUGAAGUCCUGAGAUCCUUAAUGGAGAAUUUGACUGCUAAUUGAGAGAUCACGCGAGCACGAAAAACAUUAUUGUUACUUGUUAAAAUAAGAUCAUCAAUAUAAAUAAGUAGGUAAACAAUGAGACCACUCUUUUUAAAAAUGAAGAGGGAUGUCUCGGUUUAGGAGUUGACGAAGGCUAUUGAGAGGAGAAAUUGGCAAAGUUCAUGAUACCAUGAUCGUGGAGCUUGUUUAAAGCCAUAAAAAGCCUUACAAAGUUGGCAAAUGUGAUGAUGUGUGUAUUCGUGAACCCAGGAGGUUGAAUCAUGUAAACAUCUUCAUGAAGUGUCCUAUGCUAGAAUGCAUUAUUAAUGUCCAAUUCAUGAGUUGAUAGGAGUCUGCUCAAUACAAUGUGGGAGUGUGAUUUCAAAAUUAGGGUAAUUUCGAAAUGGAUUUUGUAUUCACAAGUUGAAUUUCAAAAUUAUUUUGAAAUGGUCUUUUAACUUUAAGCAGUUGUGUUCAAAAGGUCAUAACUUCUUCGUUUCAAUUUUGAUUUACACAUUGUUUAAAACAUUGGACUCUUUACUUCCCGAGCUUCAAAACGAUAUAUAGUAUGCUCAAAAAUGACAUCAGGAUUGGUUCAAAUUUCAUCUUGAUAUUAGAGUACAUGUUGUGAUUAGAUUUUGAGUUCCAAAUUUCCAUGUAAACUUGAUUGCAUUUGCUUCAAACCUCCUUCAUUAUGGUUGCUUGCCCUCUAUCUCACUUUGCAACAUUUGUUACUAGUAUUUUAUGUCCAUGACUUACUCAUUUCAACCUUUCUUGGAUUCUUCAUGGUUCACAAAUUAUGGAUUCUUCAUGGUUCACAAAUUGAGUCUUUCAAUUAUGCAUGUUUAACUCCUAUUUCCUUGGUUGAUAAUGACUUUUACACUUAUCAUUUUCUUUUAUUCUUUAAACCUGAAUUUAGACUUACAAAAAAAAGUUAGAUCCAUAACUAGGGUCUUAGCAUCAAUUUGAGUUAAGUUGGAUGAUUUGAAAAUUUUAUAUUACAUAAAUCAUAUCAUACAUGUGCCAUUGGAGUGCACAUUUUGGCUCUAAUCAUGUUCCAACCCAUUGUUUUACUCUUGCAUGAAGUAUGUGGCCAUUGAUUUUAAUUUUAUUUGCGAUUAGGUUCAAAAUGGUGCUUUUGUGUUGCUCAUGUGUCAUCAGAAGAUCAACUAAUGGAUUCUCUAACAAAACUACUACAUCAUAGUCAUUUUUUUUUUUCUUAAGACCAAGAUUGAGAUCUCCAAUCGGAGCCAACUCCAUCUUGGGGGCAUGUUAGUGAAAGAUAAAAUUUAUCUUUAAUUUAAAUAUUAAUAUUUAUCAGUUAUUAGUUUUAAUUAGAGUAAAAGAUAGAGUUUAAAUUGGAGUAGGAGAUAAACUUGUGUUUGAACUAGAAUAGAAGAUAAAGUAUAAAGAUUUAUGUUUGAAUUAGAAUAAAAUAUAAAGUUUGAAUUAGAGUAGAAGAUAAACUUGUUCUUUAUUUGUAUAUAAAUAUUCAUCAAUUCUUGAGAAGAAGAUUAUUUCAUAGUUUUUCUAUCUUCUUUUUUCUUCAUACAUAUCUGCAAGAAAUUGAAGAUUUCAAGUAAAAUAUUUUCUGUUUUAAAUAGUGAAAAAAGCUAGAAAUUCACUUUGUUAUCUCUUGGGGUAAAUUGACAAGGUUUAACGUUAAGAAGGUGAAUUAUUUUUUCAGAAAAACUGAAGUAGCUAGGAUAUCUGGCCAGUUGUGAUCGAUAAAAAAGUUGUAAAAUCUCUCAUAUACUAAACAGGUUUUGGAUGUUGGUAUGGUAAAUCCAUCUGCAGUCAUUCGUCAUCUCAUCUAGUGAGAUGUUUGGGAGGUGGUGACCGCCGGAUUGGGUUUCAUUUGGUUAAAUCUGUCAGUGGGUUGGCUACUACCCGAGCCUCUUGCUUUGGGGGAGGUGGGUUCUAGAUAUAAUGUUCAAACCAUUUUAGUUAUCAUAUGCAUGACAUGUAAGCAUAAUCUCUUUAUCACUUCUUCAAUGGGAGUUCAUGGUUAGGAAUUGACUUCUUUUCUUCUGGGAUGCUUGGCAUGUAAUGGACAAAGUUACUUUUAUAUCGAUCGAAUUUCUAGUAUUAUAGUGAAGACUUACCCUUUUGACAUUUUAUAUCGAAUUAUAGAAGAUGAAAGGGACAUACAUGCAAUCGACUGACGCUUUAGUGAAUAUGCUGAAAAUAUGCUGAUGCUGUGGAGAUCGUAUGAGGACAGAGGAAAAAGAUAGAAAUGGAUAUAUAAUUAGACCUAGGUUUUUAUUAAAUGAGAUGGGGAACAUAGAGUGAGGGAAAAUCAAAAUUUUUGGCUGCAGUUCACAUUGGUGAUAUUUUGGAUUGACAAAGACUAACGACUUUUCUAUUUUUCUUUUCGGCCUGACUGGAUAGUUGGACAUGGACAAUACAGAAUCCACAGAAGGAUUGUUGGGACCGCUGAAAAUUAGCUAGAAGAAGCUGAGGAAGUAGUCUACGUAGUCAAAUACCAAACACAAAGAAAGAAAGAAAUGGAUAUCAUGGAUGCCUAGAGUUAUACUCCUAAUACCGUCACAGGUAUUUUUCUUUCCUCCUUUUUUUUUCUACGAUAAUUAGAGCAUUUCUCCUCCUCCUCCUCCUCCUCCCCCCACCCCACCACCAAAAAAUAAAAAAAUAAAUUAUUGCAAGUAACACUUCAAAUAUUAAUUUAUACAUUCUAAAGUAUAUAUUCAUGAAAUAACUUGAGUAUCAUACAUUAGUUCUCAAAAAAAAAAAAAAAAAAAAAAAAAAAUUACUGGAAGAGAAAAGUUUAAGAAAACAUAAAAAUAUUCAACUACUAUUUUAAAGAGAAAAUUUAAUUUUUACACUAUAAAUUUGAAGAGAACUUUUACAUGCAUCUUAUAUAAACUACCAUUUUUUGCUAAAAGGCUUAAAUUUGUCAAAAAUACCCCUUAGGUGCUUAACGUUCUGGUCAUAAUAUAAUUGGCAUCUUUUCUCAAACAUAAGGCCUGUGUGUGGGAACAAGAUUUAAUGUUAAUGAGCUUCGCCACCGACAUUUAGUUCCAGAAAUCAUUAUUUUAAUAGAGUGGGCUCAAUUUACAACUUUAAUUAAACUCUAACCAACUGCAUUGUGAAAUGAAUAUGUUUCUUUCGUGGUGAAUCCAAUGAGUUGGGAGUCAAACUUUGCUUCAUUGUGUAUAGAUGAAAUGUUAAGACUCCAUGUAACCUCAAACAUUUCCGCAAUNNNNNNNNNNNNNNNNNNNNNNNNNNNNNNNNNNNNNNNNNNNNNNNNNNNNNNNNNNNNNNNNNNNNNNNNNNNNNNNNNNNNNNNNNNNNNNNNNNNNUUCUUUCGUGGUGAAUCCAAUGAGUUGGAGUCAAACUUGCUUCAUUGUGUAUAGAUGAAAUGUUAAGACUCCAUGUAACUCAAACAUUUCCGCAAUGAGCGGGAGUUCUAAAUUUAAUAAUUGAAAUUGUCAGUGGAACCAGUGGACAAGAGUUGGUUUGUGGUUGACAAACUUAUCCGUUUGAUCUUUACUUGAACAGUUCCAGUGUGUGGAUGGGUACUGAUGAAGUGUGCGCAUUUAUUUUGAGAAGCCUGCUUGUUCGCAUAGAUUUUAACGACAUGAACAUUGUGGUAAGGUUAGAGAGUAAUGCGAAUGUAGGAGCUUAUAUUAGAAAUGACACAAACACGUAAAUAGAAGUAAUCUAUAUAUGAUAUUACUCAUGGACUACAAGCAAAGAAGUACAAUACAUGGAGUAAGUGAUGAAAUGAGCAUUCCUCACUACUACUGCUUGACUGAUGGAACAUGAUGCACGAGAUAGCAUAAGUAGUAGUAGGAAGCAGCUCUUAUUUGUGGCGUCGGUAUACAUCAUACUAGGUAGAUGGUUCAAUUGGCAUGGAUGGGUGGUGGAGCCUUGAAGUGCUUGUGAUGGGGAGCCCACGGCUUCUUCUCAGGAGUUGGUGGCUUCUUGUAUGGAGUUGAUGGAGGUGUUUCUACUGGAGGGUGGCCAGGGUAGUGACCCUGGGGUGGUGAAGGUUCUUUUGUCGGUGGUGGCCUCACUAUUAUUGGCGGUAGAGUUGGUGGCUUGGGCGUUGGCGGUGGUCUCACUACUCUUGGGGGUAGAGUUGGUGUCUUGUGUUUUGGUGGUGGAGGUGGCUUAACAGGAGUUGGUGGCUUGUAUUCUGGGGGUGGUUUCUCCACCGGAGGUGGCUUAUAAACUGGAGUUGGUGGCUUGUAUUCUGGGGGUGGCUUCUCCACUGGUGGUGGCCUGUAAACAGGGGUUGGUGGCUUAUAUUCUGGGGGAGGCUUCUCCACUGGAGGCGACUUAUAAACAGGGGUUGGUGGCUUGUAUUCCGGGGGUGGCUUCUCUACGGGAGGUGGCCUGUAAACAGGGGUUGGUGGCUUCUCCACCGGAGGUGGCUUAUAAACGGGGGUUGGUGGCUUGUAUUCUGGGGGUGGUUUCCCCAGUGGUGGAGACUUGUAAACAGGAAGAGGUGGUUUGUGCUCAUAUGGGGGUGGCUUGUGGUCAUUAGCAAGUGAGGGAGUGGUGAGGACCACCAAUCCAAGGAACAACACGAGUGAGCAAGCAGAAGACAU
rnacentral:lncRNA from 1 species